rnacentral:rRNA from 1 species
CCUACGGGAGGCAGCAGUGAGGAAUAUUGGUCAAUGGGCGCGAGCCUGAACCAGCCAAGUCGCGUGAUGGAAGACGGUCCUAUGGAUUGUAAACCUCUUUUGUCGGGGAGCAAAAGACGCCACGCGUGGCGUUCCGAGAGUACCCGAAGAAAAAGCAUCGGCUAACUCCGUGCCAGCAGCCGCGGUAAUACGGAGGAUGCGAGCGUUAUCCGGAUUUAUUGGGUUUAAAGGGUGCGCAGGCGGAAGAUCAAGUCAGCGGUAAAAUUGAGAGGCUCAACCUCUUCGAGCCGUUGAAACUGGUGUUCUUGAGGGAGCGAGAAGUAUGCGGAAUGCGCGGUGUAGCGGUGAAAUGCAUAGAUAUCACGCAGAACUCCGAUUGCGAAGGCAGCAUACCGGCGCUCAACUGACGCUCAUGCACGAAAGUGUGGGUAUCGAACAGGAUUAGAUACCCGAGUAGUC